UACAGAGGUCUCAAGCGUUGUUCGGAUUCAUUGGGCGUAAAGGGUGCGUAGGUGGCGCGCUAAGUCAGGUGUGAAAUUUCGGAGCUUAACUCCGAAACUGCAUUUGAUACUGGCGUGCUUGAGGACUGGAGAGGAGACUGGAAUUCAUGGUGUAGCAGUGAAAUGCGUAGAGAGUCAUGGAGGAAGACCAGUGGCGAAGGCGGGUCUCUGGGCCGAUACUGACGUGAGGAGCGGAAAGCGUGGGGAGCGAACAGG
rnacentral:rRNA from 1 species